GGGACUUGGGCUAGAAAGAACCAAGACGCGGCGAUAGAGCAACUUGCUGUUUGGGGAACCGCUAGGAAACUGGGAAGUGAAACUGGGGCGGUAUCUUCGUUUUUACGGAUUAAGUUACAAUGUAGAGCGUCCUAAUAUAUACAAGAGUGGAAGCUGAAUAGUUGUACGUCUAUUUUAAACUAGAGCUAUAAUAGAUGCGUUUCGUCCAUUACUAGAACUGUCAGAUUUGAUUGAGAGAGUUAAGGUGUGGCUGUCUUCAAAACGUUUUUUUUUCUUCUUCAAGGCUUUCCUCUGAACUAAAUGCUUAUAAUAAUAAAGCUUGACAUAUUUACAGUGAGAAGUAGCCUAGCUGAUCGAUUUUCAACAAUAAUGGCGCAUUUGAAAAAGGAAGCAUUCGAUUAUACGACCUACAGUGCCACCUCGACAAGGAUAAUGUGCAUUAUUCUAAACAUUACCGAUGGAGUCUAUUCUGCUAUUAUUUGGAUGAUUAUAACAAGUAUUUAAUAAUCGUGUAGGUUAAUUCGCUGUAUAAUGUUUUGAAAUGGACGUAGCAACUUUACAGUCGUAUCGCAUUCUACAUAUGAAAGGCUAAUCAACGGACCUGUGGGGGAGUAGGCCUAGUUGGUGAUUAUAGAGCUAUUCUCGCACGAUAAUCGAUUAAAAAAUAUAUAUUUAGAUUUUUUCCCUUUAUGAUCAUUGGCGAUACUUGUAACUAGUCUACUGCCAUUUUGAGUCCCACCGAGGAAAUAAGUUAAUCUUACCUACAGAAACAAGUAAGUGCGUCAAUAUUAAUUUAAAAACCUUUAAAUGUCUUUAUGAGUGUGGAAUAACCUUAACUGAAUAUAAUAAAGUAAUCUAGAUAGGCUGCAAUUGAGAGAUAAAAUAGAGCGUCAAAUGAACCCGGAUGAUUAUAUGCCUACUGAGAAUAUUGCCAUAACUGUUACUAAUGAAGCAAAUUGAAUGUUACAAAUUAUGUAAUCAAAUAGUUGACUUGCAGUUCCAUUUUGACUAUAUGUAGUCCGCUGGUCUGUAGGCGGUGCAAUAAUUAGCAUAAUACUUCAUUCAAUACAGCAGUGAAUUGAAUAUUAGAUUUAUGAGUUAUUUCAAAGGCCAUCUCAUAUAGGAUAAACGUUAAAUGGAUUGGAUUAUGGACACUUCUAUUGCGUGCAUUCGUGCCCUAUAGAGUCUACGGGCGUGCCCAUCAAUUAGCCUACUUGUGAAGAAGAAUGGGGCCAAAGGGGCCAGAAUAAGAUUCGGUCAUAUUUUUAAAAAAUUUAAAAAUAUGUAAAAUAUCAAGAUCAUUCCUGUACUGUAAAAACGUGUUAAAAUACCUAUUCAUAGAUCUGAUGUUUGACUUAUUAUUAACGUUUAGCAUUUAGUAGUAGGGUAGACUAAAUACAUAAUGAAUUUAACCUUACUCGUAUCUUUUCAUUAUUUAGUUACAGUAACUCACUGUAAUUUGCUUUAAUUUGAUUUAAAGGAGAGAAUUGCAGAGCGAAUUCCUCAAGGCCCCACCCUUUACAGCAAAACAUGGAUGUGGAUCACAGUUUCCCCCAGAAGUUUCUUGUUUCCCCUUUUCCUCUCUCUAACUUUACGUUGCCAAGUGUGUAACCAUAGACCCUGCUUUAAGUGGAGAGAACCUGUAACCUUCCAUAUACACUGGCUGGCAACCCCCUAAAGAUCAAGCCUCAGGAUCUUCAUUCAAACUCCAAUGAGUCUCCCUUCCUUUGAUCAAGAUUCCACCUCUGCCCACCCUGAUGGACAAAAAUGAAGAAGAUGUAGCCUAGUGUGUGUGUUUAUAUGUGUGUGUUUUUGUACAUGUUGCUUGGGUGCUCACUGGCUGACCCACAGCAGUUCUUCACUGGCAAGCUUUAUGUCCUUGUGUACCAACUAAAGCUGCCAGCUGAAGAACUGUUGUGGUUGGCUCUUUCCUGCAUCCCACACAGAAGACCAAGAGACGCCUUCGAGAAAUGUGUGUGUGUGUGUGUCCAGAUGCCAUGCAUCGGAUCAGUGAAUUCUCCAUCCAGAUGUUCCAUUUUGCAGCCAAUGGUAGCAGUGUACAGUAUGUUUAGAGGUAAAUACAGCACACGUGAAGAUUAGGCUAAACAGAAUAGCUAGCUAUCCAAGACAUCUGAUAUGAUGCAAUAGGUCUCAGUUCAAAACACAUGAACCCACUGCACUCAAAUGUAAUGUUUUCAUUAAGUCUUCUGCUCAUGUUACAGAGCUAAUGAAGGCUCUAAGUAUGAAAAAUGCUUACAAACUAUGAAAUAUGUUUAAGUAUGACGUUUGCUUACUAAAUAUCAAGUAUGGUCCCAAAGUAUGAGGUAUGCUUACUUGAUGUAUGCUUACUGAAGACAGAUUUUACUAUAUGUGUGCUGUAUUUUUCUCUAUUUACACUACAUUGUAUUUAGUUGUAUGUAUACUCAACAGAGUUGUAUGUAUGCUUUCAUGUACAAUGUGAGCUCUUUUAAACCAUAUUAUCAGCAUCAA